GCCUGGAUAGCUCAGUUGGGAGAGCAUCAGACUUUUAAUCUGAGG
rfam:Chlamydotis undulata macqueenii contig111806, whole genome shotgun sequence.